rnacentral:rRNA from 1 species
ACGAACGCUGGCGGCGUGCUUCACACAUGCAAGUCGAACGAUGAAGAAAAGAAUCGAAGCUUCGGCAGAAAUUCAUUUCGGAUUAGUGGCAGACGGGUGAGUAACGCGUGAGCAACCUACCUCUUACAAAGGGAUAGCCUCGGGAAACCGGGAUUAAUACCAUAUAACAUUGCGACGAAGCAUUUCGAUGCAAUCAAAGCUACGGCGGUAAGAGAUGGGCUCGCGUCCCAUUAACCGGAUGGUGAGGUAACGGCUCACCAUAGUGACGAUGGGUAACCGGCCUGAGAGGGUGAACGGUCACACUGGAACUGAGACACGGUCCAGACUCCUACGGGAGGCAGCAGUGGGGAAUAUUGCACAAUGGAGGGAACUCUGAUGCAGCGACGCCGCGUGAGUGAUGAAGGAAUUCGUUUCGUAAAACUCUGUUCUAUGGGAAGAAAAGGACUGUACCAUAGGAGAAAGCUCCGGCUAAAUACGUG